GUUUGUCGAGGAAGGCUUCAUGGAAUGAUGGAAUUGUUUGAAAUCAUUGAAAAACAGAAGAAUCUUGCUCAGUAAAGCUGGAUGCAAAGGGCAUAAGAUUUCUAUCGUAUGUGAAAGCAGACAUAAAGGCCAGGAAGUUGGGAAAAUGAAGAAAAAGUAAAUUUCAAGGGAUAUACGCGCCAAGAAGGGAGGAAUCAAAAAUAUAGUCUGCAUCAACCUGGAAACUGAAGACAAAAACUGAAAUUAUCUAUCAUUCUAUCCAUAUCCAUAGAGACAUUAUGCAAAAUAAUCUUAUGUUACGUAGGCACCGUUGCUGCUGUGGAAUAAGCUGUAUUUUAAAGACGUGGUGACUUUAAGUGGCUCUCCCAAGGACGUUGGCUGGAAUGGAGCAUUAAAACAACUGUGAUCUUCUGGCUCUGCCCCUGUGUCUGUUUCAUAAACUGGCCUUGUCAAGAUGAAAAAUGUCAUGCCAUCCACAACCUGAAGAGGCAUGUCUGCGAAAGGACAAUAGGAACAGAGUCUGUCACUUCCCCUCAUCACAUAUACAGAUGGAUGAUCUCUAGUACUUCUGGCCAGAUUGUUUUGUUUCAACUCUACCUGUGACUGAGCUAUGGGUGCUGCUGAAAAUUUUACACCCAUAAUACAAGCAUUCCCCCUCACGCAACAAGUCAGCACACAGUUUACAGAUAUUAAUUACGGCGGUUUUCCUUUGUCAUUGUACCUCUCUUUGACGUAAGUAAAGCCAGUGACUCAGAAUUCUGGGCCCACGUCAUGGGGAUGUGGCAGCACUAACAGAAAAAUGAACAAGCCCGGAGAUGGGAAAAAUCUGUAAGAGGACUGAUUUAAACGGGAGAAGCCGUCUGUCACCAAAGACCUUUCUGCCCCCAGGCCCGCUGAUAUCAGUCAGAAAACAAGGUCACAAGGCUCCAGGACCAAGGAUCAUCAAGAAGGAAAGUUCACAGUGGCUUAUUGACAAGAUUGAAGAAAAACUCCUUAGAAAUUAAUAACAAGCACCUGACAGACAUGCCUGCUGUCUCCAAUGCAAGACAUCCCAUGACGUUCAGUAAUUAAUGGUAUGACCUACACAUUAUUGAGAAAAUUAAUGAGUACAUAUUUCAAGUGAAAUCCAUUUCGUAGAUGAAAAA
rnacentral:lncRNA from 1 species